AACAACUCUUUUUAUCAAGGUCCACUUAAGCAGGAUUUUCCACUUAAGAGUAUUACAGCUGUAACGGUUUCGACUGUACAAGCUUUAUGAUCAUUUGAUAAAAAUUUAGUUCUUUGGAACUUAAAACCACUUAGAGAAUAAUUUAUCACUUUUAUUACUUAUUUAAUUAAUAGUUAAGCACCACUUUUAUUCAAAAGCAAUUUUCCUUCACGUGAUUUUCUAUUGAUUUUUAAAAGCACUCAUGACCACCCAUUUCAAUAGUAAAUUGUAAAAUUCAUACCUAAUCUUCAUGUCACGGUCAGGGGAAGCACACAAUGCCUUAAUGUAUUCAUUAUUUGUUUCUAUAUCCAUUUAACGGAGUCUCGUUGAAUGCUGCCUCCCAGAACUAUUUAAAAGUCAAGUCAUAAGUUUUUUAAUGUCUAGCGGCUAACAUCUGAAUAUUCAAUAGAUUAUCUUGCUAAGCAUGCUGUUAUUGAGUAUCUAACACCUUUAAUUGAACUACAAUUGCAAAUAUACUGUCUGUAUACAGGCAUUGUUAGUUUCUUCCAGAUAUGUAAGCAAUUUAUAUUGAUUGCAGAAACAAAGGCAAACUAUUUUUAGCUGGAAAUUCUGUAUUCGAAAUUCUAUUCGUGAAUUUAAGUGUAAACAAGUAACAAAAGGCUAAAACAGACUAUGAAAUGCCUUAUACUACAGGAUGUACCUGUUACUAACUCCAAGGUGCGAUAAAAGAUUAAAAACUGAGAUAAAGGAUUUUUAACUUAAUUUUAAUAUUUUUUAAGUAAGCAUUUCUUUUGGUCAAAAAAUUUUUACUUGGUAAUAAGAAGAUUUUUUUCUUAAAUGACAGUAAAAUUUGUACUUAUACUAAAACAGACAGGAAGUACCUGUUAUUAACUCCAAGUGAAUAUACACUGAAAAUUGUUUCGUCUGAACUUUAACACUAAACAGUCAGACGUGGUCAAAACGACGAAGCGCAACGUCUAUGAUUACUGUAAACAAAAUAAGUAAGACUUUUCAGGGUACGAUAAAAGACAAUAAACUAAAAUAAAGGAUUUUUAACCUAA
rnacentral:sRNA from 1 species